rnacentral:rRNA from 1 species
GAUGAACGCUAGCGGGAGGCCUAACACAUGCAAGCCGAGCGGUAUUGUUUCUUCGGAAAUGAGAGAGCGGCGUACGGGUGCGUAACACGUGUGCAACCUGCCUUUAUCUGGGGGAUAGCCUUUCGAAAGGAAGAUUAGUACUCCAUAAUAUAUUGAACGGCAUCGUUUAAUAUUGAAAGCUCCGGCGGAUAGAGAUGGGCACGCGCAAGAUUAGCUAGUUGGUGAGGUAACGGCUCACCAAGGCGAUGAUCUUUAGGGGGCCUGAGAGGGUGAUCCCCCACACUGGUACUGAGACACGGACCAGACUCCUACGGGAGGCAGCAGUGAGGAAUAUUGGUCAAUGGGUGCAAGCUUGAACCAGCCAUCCCGCGUGAAAGACGACUGCCCUAUGGGUUGUAAACUUCUUUUGUAUAGGGAUAAACCUACCCUCGUGAGGGUAGCUGAAGGUACUAUACGAAUAAGCACCGGCUAACUCCGUGCCAGCAGCCGCCGUAA